rnacentral:rRNA from 1 species
AUGUGUCUCGCCGGCCCCGAUCCCGCUCGUCUGCCUCGACAAGUCGACAUGCUGCUCGCCGCGCAGGCGCAGACCUUCCUAUAUACGGCCGAUGUCGUCACCGCCAUCGAGAACUUCCCCGACCACGGCGGCACCGUCAACGGCAUCCUGAAGGGUUUUCUGGGCUUUGGGUGGAGCAAUACUUAUGCUAGCGAUAUUACCCACAGGCCACACGAUAUUACCCACAGGCCACAGUCGUCGCAUUGCUGCUCAUGUAUUUUGUCGAUGUCCACAGUGCUCAUCGGUGGUACAACAAGAAGUUCCUUGAUGCCUUCGCUCUUAUGGCCGUUUCUGUUGCCGGGUACCUGA